rnacentral:rRNA from 1 species
GGGGCAUAAAUAAUAACGCGUUAUUAUUAUGGUGUGUUUGAGACUGGGGGCUUCUUGCCGCCUCUUCCUUGUGCUUCCCUCUUCCUCCGCUGAGUUGUCGUGCUUUUGUUCUUUGAUUUUUUAUUUUUAAGAUUUUGUAUAAAUUGGAAGUGGGAUGGGGAAACGUAAAUGUGGAGGGCAAAAGCUCCUGGAGGGGAUCUCUUAAUUUAUGAUGUAAGGCCCGGGGGUUGACCGGGGAGGCGCCAAGCAAACUGGGAUAAUUGAACUAUGGAAAGCAAAGGAGAAAUCCCAGGGAAACCGUUAAAAGGCUAAGAGUGGGGAAGAAAGCCCAGGGGAAAAGCCACUUUCUUGGCUGGUAAUGGAGGUUGAGCGCGAAAAAGGUGGGGAAAAAAAAGGGUUAAAUUCCCUGGGAAGCCCAGCCGUAAAACAAGGGGGGGAAAGGUAAGGGGUUUCCCCCCCUUAAGCCCCCCCUAAAGGAUUUAAGCCCUCCCCCCGGGGAGGAACGACGGAAGGUUAAAUUUAAAGGAUUUGGCGGGGGCCCGCAAACGGGGGAGCCUGUGGUUUAAUUCAAAGAACGGGAAAAACCUUACAAGGCUUGACCCCCGACUGCCGGGUAAAAAAUACGCCUUUCCCUUCGGGAAAGGGGAGAAAAGGGGGGAUGGUUGCGCCUCCGGGCGGAGAUGUGUUAACCACGAGCACC